rnacentral:rRNA from 1 species
AGUGAACGCUGGCGGUAGGCCUAACACAUGCAAGUCGAACGGCAGCACAGUAAGAGCUUGCUCUUACGGGUGGCGAGUGGCGGACGGGUGAGGAAUGCAUCGGAAUCUACUUUUUCGUGGGGGAUAACGUAGGGAAACUUACGCUAAUACCGCAUACGACCUACGGGUGAAAGCAGGGGAUCUUCGGACCUUGCGCGAUUGAAUGAGCCGAUGUCGGAUUAGCUAGUUGCGGGGUAAAGGCCCACCAAGGCGACGAUCCGUAGCUGGUCUGAGAGGAUGAUCAGCCACACUGGAACUGAGACACGGUCCAGACUCCUACGGGAGGCAGCAGUGGGGAAUAUUGGACAAUGGGCGCAAGCCUGAUCCAGCCAUACCGCGUGGGUGAAGAAGGCCUUCGGGUUGUAAAGCCCUUUUGUUGGGAAAGAAAAGCAGCAGGUUAAUACCCCGCUGUUCUGACGGUACCCAAAGAAUAAGCACCGGCUAACUUCGUG